rnacentral:rRNA from 1 species
UAGGAACGGCCAUUGAUACUGUUAGGCUUGAAUUAUUAGGAAGUAACUAGAAUAUGUAGUGUAGCGGUGAAAUGCUUAGAGAUUACAUGGAAUACCAAUUGCGAAGGCAGGUUACUACUAAUGGAUUGACGCUGAUGGACGAAAGCGUGGGUAGCGAACAGGAUUAGAUACCCUGGUAGUCCACGCCGUAAACGAUGGAUACUAGCUGUUGGGAGCAAUUUCAGUGGCUAAGCGAAAGUGAUAAGUAUCCCACCUGGGGAGUACGAACGCAAGUUUGAAACUCAAAGGAAUUGACGGGGGCCCGCACAAGCGGUGGAGCAUGUGGUUUAAUUCGAUGAUACGCGAGGAACCUUACCAAGGCUUAAAUGUAGUUUGACCGAUUUGGAAACAGAUCUUUCGCAAGACAAAUUACAAGGUGCUGCAUGGUUGUCGUCAGCUCGUGCCGUGAGGUGUCAGGUUAAGUCCUAUAACGAGCGCAACCCCUGUUGUUAGUUGCCAGCGAGUCAAGUCGGGAACUCUAACAAGACUGCCAGUGCAAACUGUGAGGAAGGUGGGGGAUGACGUCAAAUCAUCAC